AAACAGCUUGCUGUUUCGCUGACGAGUGGCGGACGGGUGAGUAAUGUCUGGGAAACUGCCUGAUGGAGGGGGAUAACUACUGGAAACGGUAGCUAAUACCGCAUAACGUCGCAAGACCAAAGAGGGGGACCUUCGGGCCUCUUGCCAUCAGAUGUGCCCAGAUGGGAUUAGCUAGUAGGUGGGGUAACGGCUCACCUAGGCGACGAUCCCUAGCUGGUCUGAGAGGAUGACCAGCCACACUGGAACUGAGACACGGUCCAGACUCCUACGGGAGGCAGCAGUGGGGAAUAUUGCACAAUGGGCGCAAGCCUGAUGCAGCCAUGCCGCGUGUAUGAAGAAGGCCUUCGGGUUGUAAAGUACUUUCAGCGGGGAGGAAGGGAGUAAAGUUAAUACCUUUGCUCAUUGACGUUACCCGCAGAAGAAGCACCGGCUAACUCCGUGCCAGCAGCCGCGGUAAUACGGAGGGUGCAAGCGUUAAUCGGAAUUACUGGGCGUAAAGCGCACGCAGGCGGUUUGUUAAGUCAGAUGUGAAAUCCCCGGGCUCAACCUGGGAACUGCAUCUGAUACUGGCAAGCUUGAGUCUCGUAGAGGGGGGUAGAAUUCCAGGUGUAGCGGUGAAAUGCGUAGAGAUCUGGAGGAAUACCGGUGGCGAAGGCGGCCCCCUGGACGAAGACUGACGCUCAGGUGCGAAAGCGUGGGGAGCAAACAGGAUUAGAUACCCCGGUAGUCCACGCCGUAAACGAUGUCGACUUGGAGGUUGUGCCCUUGAGGCGUGGCUUCCGGAGCUAACGCGUUAAGUCGACCGCCUGGGGAGUACGGCCGCAAGGUUAAAACUCAAAUGAAUUGACGGGGGCCCGCACAAGCGGUGGAGCAUGUGGUUUAAUUCGAUGCAACGCGAAGAACCUUACCUGGUCUUGACAUCCACGGAAGUUUUCAGAGAUGAGAAUGUGCCUUCGGGAACCGUGAGACAGGUGCUGCAUGGCUGUCGUCAGCUCGUGUUGUGAAAUGUUGGGUUAAGUCCCGCAACGAGCGCAACCCUUAUCCUUUGUUGCCAGCGGUCCGGCCGGGAACUCAAAGGAGACUGCCAGUGAUAAACUGGAGGAAGGUGGGGAUGACGUCAAGUCAUCAUGGCCCUUACGACCAGGGCUACACACGUGCUACAAUGGCGCAUACAAAGAGAAGCGACCUCGCGAGAGCAAGCGGACCUCAUAAAGUGCGUCGUAGUCCGGAUUGGAGUCUGCAACUCGACUCCAUGAAGUCGGAAUCGCUAGUAAUCGUGGAUCAGAAUGCCACGGUGAAUACGUUCCCGGGCCUUGUACACACCGCCCGUCACACCAUGGGAGUGGGUUGCAAAAGAAGUAGGUAGCUUAACCUUCGGGAGGGCGCUUACCACUUUGUGAUUCAUGACUGGGGUGAAGUCGAAACAAGGUAACCGUAGGGGAACCUGCGGUUG
rnacentral:rRNA from 1 species